rnacentral:rRNA from 1 species
AGCGAACGCUGGCGGCAGGCCUAACACAUGCAAGUCGAACGGAUCCUUCGGGAUUAGUGGCGGACGGGUGAGUAACACGUGGGAACGUGCCUUUUGGUUCGGAACAACUCAGGGAAACUUGAGCUAAUACCGGAUGUGCCCUUCGGGGGAAAGAUUUAUCGCCAUUAGAGCGGCCCGCGUCUGAGUAGCUUGUUGGUGAGGUAAAGGCUCACCAAGGCUACGAUCAGUAGCUGGUCUGAGAGGAUGAUCAGCCACACUGGGACUGAGACACGGCCCAGACUCCUACGGGAGGCAGCAGUGGGGAAUCUUGCGCAAUGGGCGAAAGCCUGACGCAGCCAUGCCGCGUGAAUGAUGAAGGUCUUAGGAUUGUAAAAUUCUUUCACCGGGGACGAUAAUGACGGUACCCGGAGAAGAAGCUCCGGCUAACUUCGUGCCAGCCGCCGCAUAAAAC